ACACAUUCCUUCUUAUUUUUUGUUUCUUAUCACUUUAUCACUGUACCAAAGUUCAACGAAGUUACUUAUUGCUUCCUUUAUCGGCUCAUUUCAUUUAUAGAAACCGGCAAGACUAGAUUUGUACAGUAUUAUAUCAAAAUGGCUUCCGUUGGUUCUGUGACACGCGUUUUGCUCGGCAAGAAUGUUCUCAACGGAGGCCGCUUUGUAGCAGCAUCGAAUACCGGUUUGGUGAAGUUUUACAGUGCAGCUCCAGCAUACGAAAACAUCAAGACUGAAGUGGUGGGUGCCAAGAAGAAUGUAGGUCUGAUCCAGCUACACCGGCCCAAGGCCCUGAACGCGUUGUGCAAGCCGCUGUUCCAGGAGCUCGGACAGGCUGUGCGCGCCUUCGAUGCUGAUGACUCCAUCUCAGCCAUUAUUCUCACUGGUAACGAGAAGGCGUUCGCCGCCGGCGCCGACAUCAAGGAGAUGCAGAACAACACUUUCUCUGACAACACGAAGGCCGGCUUCCUGCGCGAGUGGGAGGACGUGUCCAACUGUGGCAAACCCAUCAUCGCUGCCGUCAACGGCUUUGCUCUCGGCGGCGGCUGCGAGCUGGCCAUGCUGUGCGACAUCAUCUACGCCGGGGAGAAGGCCAAGUUCGGGCAGCCCGAGAUCAACAUCGGCACCAUCCCCGGCGCGGGCGGCACGCAGCGCCUGCCGCGCUACGUCGGCAAGUCCAAGGCCAUGGAGAUCGUGCUCACUGGCAACUUCAUCGAUGCCCAAGAGGCCGAGAAGAUGGGACUGGUGAGCCGCGUGUUCCCCGUCGAGAAGCUUCUAGAGGAAACGAUCAAGCUCGCCGAGCGCAUCGGCACCCACUCCCCCCUCGUCGUCAAGAUGGCCAAGAAGGCCGUCAACCAGGCCUACGAGACCACCCUCAGAAGCGGGCUCGAGUUCGAGAAGCAAGUGUUCUACGGCACCUUCGCUACGGUGAGUUCUACAUGUUUCUAGAAGAGACCCACUCGUCGAGAUGGCCAAGAAGGCCGUCAACCAGGCCUACGAGACCACCCUCGGGAGUCGGCUCGAGUUCGAGAAGCAGGUGUUCUACGGCACCUUCGCUACGGUGAGUUCUACAUGUUUCUAGAGGAGACCCACUCGUCGAGAUGGCCAAGAAGGCCGUCAACCAGGCCUACGAGACCACCCUCGGGAGCGGGCUCGAGUUCGAGAGCCAAGUGUUCUACGGCACCUUCGCUACGGUGAGUUCUACAUGUUUCUAGAAGAGACCCACUCGUCAAGAUGGCCAAGAAGGCCGUCAACCAGGCCUACGAGAUCACCCUCAGGAGCGGGCUCGAGUUCGAGAAGCAAGUGUUCUACGGCACCUUCGCUACGGUGAGUUCUACAUGUUUCUAGAAGAGACCCACUCGUCAAGAUGGCCAAGAAGGCCGUCAACCAGGCCUACGAGACCACCCUCAGGAGCGGGCUCGAGUUCGAGAAGCAAGUGUUCUACGGCACCUUCGCUACGGAGGACCGCAAAGAGGGUAUGACUGCUUUCGUUGAGAAGAGGCCACCCAACUUCAAGAACAACUGAUUUUAUACUUUGUUUAUACUGAAAAAUCAGAAAAUCAUGUAGGUCGUAAGAAAAAGUGCAAUUAUCUUGUUUAAAAUCCAGUCUAUAUUGUUUUACUACCGUUUACUGAAUAUACUACUUUAUUUUUAA